rnacentral:lncRNA from 10 species
CCAACAUGGUAAAACCCUGCCUGUAAUUGCAGCACUUCUGGAGACCAAACCAAGAGGACUGCUUGAGCCCAGGGGGACUGCUUGAGCCCAGGGGUUCAAGACCAGACUGGACAACAUACCAGGAACCCCUCUCUACAAAAAACUUGAAACUUAGCUAGGGGUCUCGCUGUGUUGCCCAGCUGCUCUCCAACUCCCAGCCUCAAGCAAUCCUCCUGCUUCAGCACUGAUCUCACUCAGUGGUUCAGUGGGAUUACAGCCGUGAGCCACUGCACCCAGCCAUAAAUUCUUUUAUAUUUAAAGCAGUUUGAGUCGUUUCCGACCCCUACAACAUAAAGAGUCCUGUCUACUAUUCUCCUCAGGAGACAAAAUCUCUUCCCCUCAGCCCCAACAUCAAAUACAAAGCAUUCAGCCUCGUUAGUCAAAACUGAUCACAAUAAUAGCCUUUAUAGGUGUUUCUAGAGAGAUGGGGUGAGAAAAAAUAGGAUAUAAAUAACCAUUAUUUACAACUUGCA